AAACUGCGAAAAAAGAGCAUAGGUCCCACCGAGAUUUGAACUCGGGUCGCAGGAUUCAGAGUCCUGAGUGCUAACCGCUACACCAUGGAACCGCGGUGUACAG